rfam:Felis catus isolate Cinnamon breed Abyssinian chromosome A3, whole genome shotgun sequence.
GUCCACGGCCGUACCACCCUGAACGCGCCCGAUCUCGUCUGAUCUCGGAAGCUAAGCAGGGUCGGGCCUGGUUAGUAUUCGGAUGGGAGAAAGAUGGUCUUUGAGAGGCAAAGGCUGUGAGGUCU